ACUGAAAUAGCUUAGUUGGGAGGAGCGUUAGACUACAGAUCGAAAGGACCCUGGUUCGAUCUCGGAAUUCGAUA
rnacentral:tRNA from 1 species